UCUGCCAGAGGAAGGAUCUUUGGGUGACUGUGUAGAGUAGUGGUUCUUAAACUUUGGGGGUUGGCAAAUUUUAGGGUGGGGGGAAGCCUUGGGGGAAAAGUUUAAAUAUCUUUUGGUGGAAUAUUCAUCUUAAGAGCGUGGGGUAAUAUGCAAGAGGAAGGAUCUUUGGGAGACUGUGUAGAGCAGUGGUUCUUAAACUUUGGGGGUUAGCAAAUUUUAGGGAAGGGAGGGAGCAAGCCUUGGGGGAAAAGUUUAAAUUUCUUUUGGUGGAAUAUUUAUAAUCUUAAGAGUGUGAGGUAAUAUGCAAGAGGAAGGAUCUUUGGGAGACUGUGAAGAGCAGUGGUUCUUAAACUUUGGGGGUUAGCAAAUUUUAGGGAAGGAAGGGAGCAAGCCUUGGGGGAAAAGUUUAAAUUUCUUUUGGUGGAAUAUUUAUAAUCUUAAGAGUGUGAGGUAAUAUGCAAGAGGAAGGAUCUUUGGGUGACUGUGUAGACCAGUGGUUCUUAAACUUGGUGGUUAGCAAAUUUUAGGGAAGGGAGGGAGCAAGCCUUAGGGGAAGAGUUGAAAUUUCUUUUGGUGGAAUAUUUAUAAUCUUAAGAGCGUGAGGUAAUAUGCAAGAGGAAGGAUCUUUGGGUGACUGUGUAUAGCAGUGGUUCUUAAACUUUAGGGAGGGGAGGGGGCAAUCCUUGGGGGAAAAGUUUAAAUUUCUUUUGGUGGAAUAUUUAUAAUCUUAAAGAGCGUGGGGUAAUAUGCAAGAGGGGCAUGGAAGGGAAGACCCAUUCCUGGAGGGGGCAUGAAAAGGGGUGGUAAAAAGUUUAAGAACCAGUGGUGUAGAGUCACUGCAUCACUCGCCUCUGUUAUCGUAUUGUUUCAUGCCUCUAGUUUUGCCAAUUUCAGGUCUAUGGGCCAGUUCGACAGUCCAACACCGAGUGAUUGUAAGCGCCCAAACCAAACUCUAUUCUCCUCAAUGAUCCGUUAUUUCCACUCAAAACUAGAUACUAAUAGAGGUUUCCUGAUGUGUGGUUUCCUAAAAUUUCCUCCUUUCUGUAUCAACGCCAAACAAGGGAUUUUCGUUGUAUUUUGUGUUUGGUUGGGGAGCUCACAAACUUCCUGUAUUGGACUGUGAAACUGGCCCACUGUCAUUAUGAAGUAUGGCUCUGUGCAUCUUUCGUUUCUCCCGCGACAAUACACUUACUUCACCAGUGUCACAAAUUGCUUCCUUUCUGUAAUUUAAAUCGUAUAGUUACUCCACACUGUUGUCCUCUCUCCCAUGAUUAUAUCUACUUUAUCAGUGUUAUAUAUUGCUUCUUAUUUCUAGAUUAAAUCGUGUGGUCACCGGACUUCUUUCCUCUCUCCGCUAAUAAUAUUUACUUUACCAAUAUCACAUACUGGUUACUUUAGUUUAAAUUGUGUGUAGAGUUCCCCAGCACCUUCCUUUGCCUUACUUUGGUAUUACUGGAGCCAGGCCCCACGAACGCAAACCACAGCAUGUUUUACUAUACUCUGGAUAUCAUUAGAUUAGACAUCCUGGUAAACUUAAAUAAGUGAAGCAAUAUAUGACCGCCUGGUGAGAAAAAUAUCAAUCUGAGAUGGAGGGAAGAAGCAAGGAGCCAUUCUUCAUAAAUGCUUGAACCUUAAACUGGUAAAAUUAUAUAAGUGAAGUGUUAUGCGACAUUAAAGAAAGGCAAAUAACAUCGUGAGACAGAGGAAUAGUGCAGAACUAUUCUUUAUGAUUACAACAAUUUGAAAAAGGUAAAAUUGGAGAUGUGAGGCGGUAGGAGACACUUUGGUAAGGUGAAGCUCAAUAUGAGGAUGAAGUUCAGAGCGAGUCUUCAAAGCCACUCAAAACACCGUCAAGCUGGUCGAAACAUACAGAGAGAUGCCGUAAUAUGCAGCGAUGAGGUCGUCUUUCAGGAAAAAAAAAGUAUUAACAAUAAUGAUAAAAAUAAGUAAUUUUUCACUAUUUACAAAGGAACCACUCUUUAUUUUUCUUGUUUCUUUUCUUCUACGACAACAAACGUCAACGAGCGAGUUCCUUUAGCGUUUCAAGUCCUGCAUUUCGUUCCUUUAGGCCUUCGUCUCACAGCAAAUGCCCACACACUUGUACACACUCACACGCACGCACACACAAAUCAUCUAACAAGCAAAUCAAACAGACAAACAAUUCACUUACGGCAUUUAAACUUCAGGGAAUAAACCGCUCUUCUUUGUCUCCCUCUGUCUUCCUAUAAAACUCACACACGCACACACACAAACAAACCAUCUCUUGAUCAAAAAAGCAAAACAAAACAGACAAUAAUAUCACUACUGCCGUUUAGAAUAAUGAGAAAAGUCGCCUUUCUUCACAUCCCUACGAUUUCCUACAACACAAAUACACAUAAACGCACAUACAAACUAUCUAUCGGUCAAAGAAGCGAAACAAACAGACCGCUACUGCCUUUUAGAAUACAGUCAUCCCUCAAAUAGUACGGUUUUGGUUUUAUGUGGAUUUUCUAAGAAGUUU